rnacentral:rRNA from 1 species
AGCAAGCACCGGCUAACUCCGUGCCAGCAGCCGCGGUAAUACGGAGGGUGCAAGCGUUAUCCGGAUUUAUUAGGUCUAAAGGGUGCGUAGGCGGAUAAUUAAGUCAGUGGUGAAAUCCUGCAGCUUAACUGCAGAACUGCCAUUGAUACUGGUUGUCUUGAAUUUAGUUGAGGUAGGCGGAAUGUGUAGUGUAGCGGUGAAAUGCUUAGAUAUUACACAGAACACCGAUUGCGAAGGCAGCUUACUAAGCUAUAAUUGACGCUGAGCCACGAAAGCGUGGGUAGCGGACAGGAUUAGAUACCCUGGUAGUCCACGCCGUAAACGAUGAUCACUCGUUGUGUAUCAAAUUGAUGAUACGUGACCGAGCGAAAGCAUUAAGUGAUCCACCUGGGGAGUACGUCGGCAACGAUGAAACUCAAAGGAAUUGACGGGGGCCCGCACAAGCGGAGGAACAUGUGGUUUAAUUCGAUGAUACGCGAGGAACCUUACCUGGGCUUAAAUGUAGAGCGACUUUUGCCGAAAGGCGAUUUCCCUUCGGGGCGAUCUACAAGGUGCUGCAUGGUUGACGUCAGCUCGUGCCGUGAGGUGUCGGGUUAAGUCCCAUAACGAGCGCAACCCUCAUCGUUAGUUGCCAGCGGGUAAUGCCGGGAACUCUAGCGAGACUGCCACCGUAAGGUGAGAGGAAGGUGGGGAUGACGUCAAAUCAGCACGGCCCUUAUGUCCAGGGCUACACACGUGUUACAAUGGUCAGUACAAAGGGAAGCUACCUGGCAACAGGAUGCAAAUCUCCAAAGCUGGUCUCAGUUCGGAUCGGAGUCUGCAACUCGACUCCGUGAAGUUGGAUUCGCUAGUAAUCGCGUAUCAGCAACGACGCGGUGAAUACGUUCCCGGGG